rnacentral:rRNA from 1 species
AUGAACGGCUGGCGGCGUGCCUAACACAUGCAAGUCGAACGAAGCAUCCUUCCGAUGAAUGGACCAGCUUGCUGGGAAAGGAAUCAAUUGGGAUGACUGAGUGGCGGACGGGUGAGUAACGCGUGGGUAACCUGCCCCAUAGAGGGGGACAACAGCUGGAAACGGCUGCUAAUACCGCAUAGCAGGAAAGAGACGCAUGUCUUUUCUUCAAAGAUUUAUCGCUAUGGGAUGGACCCGCGUCUGAUUAGCUAGUUGGUAAGGUAACGGCCUACCAAGGCGACGAUCAGUAGCCGGCUUGAGAGAGUGGACGGCCACAUUGGGACUGAGACACGGCCCAGACUCCUACGGGAGGCAGCAGUGGGGAAUAUUGCACAAUGGGGAAACCCUGAUGCAGCGACGCCGCGUGAGUGAAGAAGUAUUUCGGUAUGUAAAGCUCUAUCAGCAGGGAAGAUAAUGACGGUACCUGACUAAGAAGCCCCGGCUAACUACGUG